UUAUAGUGUAAGAUGGGAUUUUAUGCUGUAGAAGGCUUUGAAAGUCGUAAGAUUUCAUAUUGAUAAAGUUGUAUUGUGAUAAUCCUCUAAUCGGAUGCAUAGUUGUUGUGUAAGUUUCUUUUUUAGUUAGUUUAGUUCUUUUUCUUUCUUUAUUUGUUGUAUCCUGCUAAAGGCUAUGUUGCUAGAACUAGGAGACUUUGUUUAUUUUAGUUAUCAAAUAAGCAGGGAUAUAUUUUUUGCUUAACUGGUGAUUUAUUUUGUGUGGGUGUUUUCCUAGUUAAUGGUGUUUAUUUCAGCUGCC
rnacentral:lncRNA from 1 species